CGGUGGAUGAUGUUCUUUAAUUCGAUGCAACGCGAAAAACCUUACCCACCUUUGACAUGUACGGAAUCCUUUAGAGAUAGAGGAGUGCUCGAAAGAGAGCCGUAACACAGGUGCUGCAUGGCUGUCGUCAGCUCGUGUCGUGAGAUGUUGGGUUAAGUCCCGCAACGAGCGCAACCCUUGCCAUUAGUUGCUACGAAAGGGCACUCUAAUGGGACUGCCGGUGACAAACCGGAGGAAGGUGGGGAUGACGUCAAGUCCUCAUGGCCCUUAUAGGUGGGGCUAGAAACGUCAUACAAUGGCCGGUACAAAGGGUCGNUAAGCCGCGAGGUGGAGCCAAUCCCAUAAAGCCGGUNGUAGUCCGGAUCGCAGUNUGCAACUCGANUGCGUGAAGUCGGAAUCGCUAGUAAUCGUGGAUCAGCAUGUCACGGUGAAUACGUUCCCGGGUCUUGUACACACCGCCCGUCACACCAUGGGAGNGGGUCUCGCCAGAAGUAGGUAGCCUAACCGCAAGGAGGGCGCUUACCACGGCGGGGUUNGUGACUGGGGUGAAGUCGUAACAAGGUAGCCGUAUCGGAAGGUGCGGCUGGAUCACCUCCU
rnacentral:rRNA from 1 species